rnacentral:rRNA from 1 species
UACGGGGGGGGCAAGCGUUGUUCGGAAUUACUGGGCGUAAAGGGCUCGUAGGUGGCCAACUAAGUCGGACGUGAAAUCCCUCGGCUCAACCGGGGAACUGCGUCUGAUACUGGGUGGCUUGAAUCCGGGAGAGGGAUGCGGAAUUCCAGGUGUAGCGGUGAAAUGCGUAGAUAUCUGGAGGAACACCGGUGGCGAAGGCGGCAUCCUGGACCGGUAUUGACGCUGAGGCGCGAAAGCCAGGGGAGCAAACGGG